rnacentral:ncRNA from 1 species
AGGGAGCAAGCCGAAAAUCCCGUAACAGAGUAGGCG